rnacentral:rRNA from 1 species
UGGGGAAUUUUGGACAAUGGGCGAAAGCCUGAUCCAGCCAUGCCGCGUGAGUGAAGAAGGCCUUCGGGUUGUAAAGCUCUUUUAGUCGGAAAGAAAGAGUUGCAAUGAAUAAUUGUGAUUUAUGACGGUACCGACAGAAAAAGCACCGGCUAACUACGUGCCAGCAGCCGCGGUAAUACGUAGGGUGCGAGCGUUAAUCGGAAUUACUGGGCGUAAAGGGUGCGCAGGCGGCCUUGCAAGUCAGAUGUGAAAGCCCCGGGCUUAACCUGGGAAUUGCGUUUGAAACUACAAGGCUAGAGUGCAGCAGAGGGGAGUGGAAUUCCAUGUGUAGCAGUGAAAUGCGUAGAGAUGUGGAAGAACACCGAUGGCGAAGGCAGCUCCCUGGGUUGACACUGACGCUCAUGCACGAAAGCGUGGGGAGCAAACA